ensembl:lncRNA Abhd11-as1 ABHD11 antisense RNA 1 (tail to tail)
GGCAAAGGUAGCCUCAAACAACUGACAAGAAUCUCAGUCACCAGGCCUUGACUCUAAGAACAUAGAAAGGAAGCGAGCGGUGGAAGAGGAGCUGGACUCCUGUCGAGCCAAGUUGCGCGCAGUGGAGGCUCAACUGCUGGAGGUCUUGCAGGAGAAACUAAGGCUGAAACAGGAGGUGGAGGCCUGGGAGGAAGACAUGCAGCAGAUGGUUCGAGAGCGGGUGCGGAGUCAGCUGCAGGGAGAGCCCAGAGGCACUCUGGGCGCACAAGAGAACAUGAGCGCGGGCAGGAGUUCCUGGAUCCAACUCUCCCGUGGUCGUUGGGGACGACGGUGGUGAAAAUGGAUCCCAGGUCUUUAAGUCUUGAUUCAUUAAAGUGUUAGACCACCUCUG